GUAGGUGGCAAGCGUUGUCCGGAAUUAUUGGGCGUAAAGCGCGCGCAGGCGGUCCUUUAAGUCUGAUGUGAAAGCCCACGGCUCAACCGUGGAGGGUCAUUGGAAACUGGGGGGACUUGAGUACAGAAGAGGAAAGCGGAAUUCCAAGUGUAGCGGUGAAAUGCGUAGAGAUUUGGAGGAACACCAGUGGCGAAGGCGGCUUUCUGGUCUGUAACUGACGCUGAGGCGCGAAAGCGUGGGGAGCAAACAGGGAUUAGAUACCCUGGUAGUCCACGCCGUAAACGAUGAGUGCUAAGUGUUAGGGGGUUUCCCGCCCCUUAGUGCUGCAGCUAACGCAUUAAGCACUCCGCCUGGGGGAUACGGCCGCAAGGCUG
rnacentral:rRNA from 1 species